UACGUAGGGGGCGAGCGUUGUCCGGAGUUACUGGGCGUAAAGGGCAUGCAGGCGGUCGGACGCGUUUCGGGUGACAGCGGGUGGCUUAACUACCCGAGUGAUCGAAAGACGGUUUGACUUGAGGACGCGAGAGGGACACGGAAUUCCGGGUGGAGUGGUGAAAUGCGUAGAGAUCCGGAGGAACACCGAAGGCGAAGGCAGUGUCCUGGCGCGUAACUGACGCUGAGGUGCGAAAGCCAGGGGAGCGAACGGG
rnacentral:rRNA from 1 species